rfam:Felis catus isolate Cinnamon breed Abyssinian chromosome E2, whole genome shotgun sequence.
GCCUGGGUGGCUCGGUCGGCUGAGCGACUGACUUCGGCUCAGGUCAUGAUCUCGUGGUUCGUGGGUUCGAGCCCCGCCUCGGGCU